rnacentral:rRNA from 1 species
UACGUAGGGUGCAAGCGUUGUCCGGAAUUUAUUGGGCGUAAAGAGCUCGUAGGCGGUUUGUCGCGUCUGCUGUGAAAACCCGAGGCUCAACCUCGGGCCUGCAGUGGGUACGGGCAGACUAGAGUGCGGUAGGGGAGAUUGGAAUUCCUGGUGUAGCGGUGGAAUGCGCAGAUAUCAGGAGGAACACCGAUGGCGAAGGCAGAUCUCUGGGCCGUAACUGACGCUGAGGAGCGAAAGCAUGGGGAGCGAACAGGAUUAG